ACACCUCAAGUCCUGAGUGCAGGUCCCUGUUCAGAGAACGGAGAACAUGUCUGACGCCGAGGAAGAGGUGGUGGAGUACGAGGAGGAACAGGAAGAGCAAGAGGAGGCAGUGGAGGAGGAGGAUGGUGAGGCCGAGCCUGAUCCCGAGGGUGAGGCAGAGGCAGAGGAGGACAAGGCAGAAGAGGUUGGUCCUGAUGAAGAAGCCAGAGAUGCUGAAGGUAAGUGAUGCUGGGCAUCAGCACGAGAGAACCCCUCAGAGUAGACUUGGGUAAAACCACCCAGGGAUUCCGGUAUAACCAGAAGUUAUACAGGUAAGGGUUGGAAGGCAGAACUUGGGGGUACGUGCAGGGCUUGGGGAACUCUAAACCCUUGUCUUCUUCAUCUCAGAGAAAUGGCCUUAGUGUCCAACAGGAGAGGGAACCAGUGUCUAGUCCCUGGCGUGUGCAGGGUAGUGCUCUUAGAAGUAACAUUCGCACCUGACGCUCCUGGUACCCAGGCUAUGCCAGUGAGGUCUGAUGUUUGGAGGAACGACUUCCAAGACAUCAUGGUCCAUGCUGUGGCAUCAUGGUCCUGGUCAGGCUAUAGUCUCUGUCAGCUGUCUCCAGUCACACAUACCUAGGGCAGGAGGGCAGCCUUGGAAUCAUGACCACUAACUCUUCUGGCCCUGUGGCCAUCAGCAAGUCCAAGGUUCAAAACAUUAGGCCUGAGAGGAAUUCUAGGGUCAGGGCCCCUGGGGCCUUCCCACAGGACUGUGCAUUACUGCAAUGUCUGAGAAGUAAUCUUCCUAACCCUGAACAGGCAAGUAUCCUGGGCCUGUAAACACAGCCAGCCAUUCUCUGUGACCUUACCUCCAGGUCACCUUCAUGCCUGUUGGUGAUUAUGGAAGUCUAGACU
rnacentral:lncRNA from 1 species